CGAUAGUCACCUUCAUUUUCCAUAAAACAGCCUAGACCUUUCCCCAAAUAAAUCAAUUUUACUUUUACAAUAACAUAAUCUUAUUCCUACAAGCAUGACUCUUAAUAUAUGUUUGGAAGUAGCAAAAUUCUUUUAAAAACACACCAUUUGCUCUUUUUGUAACAUAACUAAAAUCAUAUAUUUUCCUAAACAGGUGUGGUAAAGUCACUGUUUUUAUCCACCAGCUCUCUUGUCAUGAAAUAUGGAGAAUAGAAGGUCAUGUCACUGGCAUAUAACCCAACAGUUAUGAAGAUAAAAAGUGAAGAUGAAAAGUGAAAAGGUUUUGAGACCUUUCUUGGAGUCCAAAGGCAACACAGAAAUUGACAAAAUCAGAACACAACAAAAUGUAGGUUCUCUUGCUUCAAGUGGACAUUCAUUCCAUUACAGCAUGCAAGGCAUGUCCGGCUUGACAGAAUUAGCGGAGAAGAUGUGAGACGCUGGAGUUUUAGAUAAAUCAAUGACAUUAGAUUGCUAAAUCUGGAAUUUGCUUCUCAAGAAAAAAGAGGGAAGAAAGAAGGAAGCAAAAAAGGAGAGAGAAGAAAAGGAGAGAAAAUAAGCUUAAUUUUUGUUAUUCAAUUCUUUACUUUGUACUUUCUCACUGUCAAUAAUAUAAUCGUAAAAAUAACAAAUAGUAUAAUUAAUGUAAUAUUAUAUAUACUUAUAGUAUAUGGUGUUAUAUAACAAAACAAAGCAAUAAAGAAGUAUAUUUGAAAAAUCUAAAUCUUUGA
rnacentral:lncRNA from 1 species